GACGAACGCUGGCGGCGUGCUUAACACAUGCAAGUCGAACGGAGUGGCGAACGGGUGAGUAACACGUGGGUGACCUGCCCUGCACUUCGGGAUAAGCCUGGGAAACUGGGUCUAAUACCGGAUAGUGUGGGAUGGGCCCGCGGCCUAUCAGCUUGUUGGUGGGGUAAUGGCCUACCCAGGAGGCGACGGGUCGCCGGCCUGAGAGGGUGGGCGGCCACAUUGGGCCAGGGGCACCGCCCAGACUGCUACGGGAGGCAGGAGUGGGGAAUUUUGCACACUGGGCCGAAGCCUGAUGCAGCGACGCCGGGUGGGGGAUGACGGCCUUCGGGUUGUAAACUCCUUUCACCAUCGACGCGGUAGAUGGAGAAGAAGCACCGGCUAACUACGUGCCAGCAGCCGCGGUAAUAC
rnacentral:rRNA from 1 species